GUAUCAUUGUAUUGGCUCGGGGUGAGGGUUCUAAACAGGAAGGUCUUUGUGUCAUUGUAUUGGCUUGGGGUGAGGGUUCUAAACAGGAAGGUCUUUGUAUCAUUGUAUUGGCUCGGGGUGAGUGUUCUAAACAGGAAGGUCUUAGUAUCAUUGUAUUGGCUCGGGGUGAGGGUUCUAAGCAGGAAGGUCUUUGUAUCAUUGUAUUGGCUCGGGGUGAGGGUUCUAAACAGGAAGGUCUUUGUGUCAUUGUAUUGGCUUGGGGUGAGUGUUCUAAACAGGAAGGUCUUUGUAUCAUUGUAUUGGCUCGGGGUGAGUGUUCUAAACAGGAAGGUCUUAGUAUCAUUGUAUUGGCUCGGGGUGAGGGUUCUAAGCAGGAAGGUCUUUGUAUCAUUGUAUUGGCUCGGGGUGAGGGUUCUAAACAGGAAGGUCUUAGUGUCAUUGUAUUGGCUCGGGGUGAGUGUUCU
rnacentral:lncRNA from 1 species